ACGAACGCUGGCGGCGUGCCUAAUACAUGCAAGUAGAACGCUGAAGGAGGAGCUUGCUUCUCUGGAUGAGUUGCGAACGGGUGAGUAACGCGUAGGUAACCUGCCUGGUAGCGGGGGAUAACUAUUGGAAACGAUAGCUAAUACCGCAUAAUAGCAGUUGUUGCAUGACAACUGUUUGAAAGGUGCAAUUGCACCACUACCAGAUGGACCUGCGUUGUAUUAGCUAGUUGGUGGGGUAACGGCUCACCAAGGCGACGAUACAUAGCCGACCUGAGAGGGUGAUCGGCCACACUGGGACUGAGACACGGCCCAGACUCCUACGGGAGGCAGCAGUAGGGAAUCUUCGGCAAUGGACGGAAGUCUGACCGAGCAACGCCGCGUGAGGGAAGAAGGUUUUCGGAUCGUAAAGCUCUGUUGUAAGAGAAGAACGAGUGUGAGAGUGGAAAGUUCACACUGUGACGGUAUCUUACCAGAAAGGGACGGCUAACUACGUG
rnacentral:rRNA from 1 species